UUAAAAAUACUUUUUGAAAAUAAAUAAGUUCUAAUUGCUUUUAAAGUGCUCUCGUUAUUUUUAAAAUCAAUGCUUAGUUUUUACUAUCCCGUUCGACCCUCACGCUCUCGCGAUUGUCGGUUCUAACCUUGGUUAAUUUCCCACUCUCGUGGCAAAACCGUAUUAAAUAGCUUCUCACUCUCGUGACAAAGUUAAUUAAAUUUAAAUUAAAAACCACAACCAAAAAGAUUAUUUGAGAAAAGAAGUUUACACCGGUUAUUAUUAAAUCCAG
rnacentral:lncRNA from 1 species